rnacentral:tRNA from 1 species
GCCCGGGUGCCGGAACGGUAUACGGAGGCGUCUUAAACACGCCGGCCCGAAAGGGCAUGUGGGUUCGAAUCCCACCCCGGGCACCU